GGGGAUGUGUUGGAACUGGUAGACGAGAAGGUCUCAAAAACCUUUGGAAGCAAUUCCGUGUGGGUUCGACUCCCACCAUCCCCA
rnacentral:tRNA from 1 species